GACAGAGGGUGCAAACGUUGUUCGGAAUUACUGGGCGUAAAGCGCGUGUAGGCUGCUUGGAAAGUCGGAUGUGAAAGCCCCGGGCUCAACCUGGGAAGUGCAUUCGAAACUUCCGAGCUGGAGUCCUGGAGAGGAAGGCGGAAUUCUCGGUGUAGAGGUGAAAUUCGUAGAUAUCGAGAGGAACACCGGUGGCGAAGGCGGCCUUCUGGACAGUGACUGACGCUGGAGACGCGAAAGCGUGGGGAGCAAACAGG
rnacentral:rRNA from 1 species